UGUAGUGUUUCUUUCUGAGCAUGACGCUGGUAGAGAGUGCUGUUCUGCAGCAGUUGCUUUCUGUUGUGGAAGAGUGUCUUGCUCUUCUGGAGAGGAGCAGGGGGAAGAAACACAGUCUGAGUGGU
rnacentral:snoRNA from 1 species